GUGAGAGUGGCGGAGUGGGAGGAACACGUGAGCAACCUGCCUUGAGUCGGGAAACCAUUGGAAACGAUGGCUAAUACCGGAUGUGGCGCCUGGCGACAUCGCUGGAGCGCUAAAGGGGGCCGCAAGGCUCUCGCUCGGAGAGGGGCUCGCGCACCAUCAGCUUGUUGGCGGGUAACGACCCACCGAGGCAUACGGUUAGCUGGUCUGAGAGGAUGACCAGCCCCACUGGGACUGAGAUACUGCCCAGACUCCUACGGGAGGCUGCAGUCGAGGAUCAUUUGCAAUGGGCGAGAGCCUGACAAUGCGACGCUGCGUGGAGGAUGAAGGCCCUUCGGGUUGUAAACUCCUGUCAUGAGGGAACAGGCGAUGUGACCUAAUACGUCACAAAGUUGAGUGUACUUCAAGAGGAAGGGACGGCUAACUCUGUGCCAGCAGCCGC
rnacentral:rRNA from 1 species